AGUUGUCCAAAAAAAAAAAACCUUUGGUGUUGUGUACAUAGUCCAGGUUUGAUAUUAGAACAAGGGUGUCAGUGAUUCCUUAAAAAUAAUAUAUAGAGUUAAUAGAAUGCUAAUAUUACAGGGGGAAAUGGAUGCUGCUGCCAGCAUGAUCGAGAAGGUAAUCCAGGCAAAUCCACUUAAGCAGAAGCUUUUAAAAACUUAGCGCUCCUCAGGCAUCAUGAUUACACAAAGUGCAAAGUUGUGGUUUAUUCAGCGGUGGUUAAGGCAUAUGCAAAAACAUUUAGGUUUAGGGAUAAAGUGUUGAAGAAAGUUUGGACACAUUCCCUUAUGAUGGAACAACCACUACCUGUGAAUCUCUCUCUAUACAUGGGAGUUCCAUGUAUUACUAUGGCUGGUACAGUACAUGCUCAUAAUGUUGGUGUCAGUCUUCUCAGUAAACGUUGGUUUAGGACACCUGGUUGCUUAAAAUGAGGAUGAGUAUGUGCAGUUAUAUGUUGAUCUAGCUUCUGAUGUGACCGCUUUUUCAAAACUGAGAUAAGUCUUGGUCCGUCCUUUACUGCAAAGGUGAAAAGUACCGUCCUUAAAGAAAACUCAAUGCCUUUUGCUGAUUGUGGACUCAUAUAGUCAUAUGGGUGAAGAUCUGAAAGAGAGUCAGUUCAUGAGAUCUUCCUCUCUUUUUUACUUCCAAGACUAUAGGAACUAGACUUGUAGAUUACUGCUUUGUCUAGUAAAAGGAAUUUUGUAAAAUCACUCUUUUUCUUUCUUUUUAUUUUUGGUUCUCUCAUCCAGCUUAAUUUAGCUUUAUAGUGAUUCUUGGCAAGUCUAGGUGGAAGUGGAUUUGGUAACUCCAAAUCAACAACACAAAAGACACCGAUGCAUCGUUUCCUACGCCAGCCAAGAAAGAUACAGAGAGCGAUGCUUCACUUUUGAAAAAGAGCUCUGAGGUCGCUGAGGAUAACAAGAAAAAUGUCUAAUAGAGAAGGCUGAUAUGGGAGACAAUUUUGGUUGCAGCCAAAAUCAAGAGAAGCCUGGUGGAGCUAAAUCUAAAAAGGAGAAAAAGGUGCUUCAUCUUCAUCCAAGCGGUUCCACUAAUGCUUCAUUGAGCUCAAUGAAACCGAAAGAAAGAAAAGGUAGAGUUCAGCAACCAGCUAGUUCAGGUACUAAUCUUUUGAAGUCAAGGCUUCAAAAUGAUCGCAGUGAAUCCGUGAAAGGCGCUGCCAUGAGCAAGAAACAAUAUGUGAAGAAGAUAAGCUCUAAACCUCUCACAGUGGAGAAGAGGAAGACGAACUUCUUCGAAGAUGCAGAGAAAUGUAAUUAGUCAGAGGAUUAAUAUAAAAAGACGUCUGAUAUCUCCGACAAAACACCAUCGGAUUAUUCAUCAGAGGAUGAUAGUGAUGUGACUUUUAUGUCUAGGAAGCAAGGUUUGAAGGGAGCCUACAAGAUUUGCUGAGAAGAUCAAGCAGUUACAAGAAGGCUUUAAUUAGAGCCCAGUCACAAACCGAUUUAGAUGAUGACUCUCCGGUAGAUUGCGUCCCAGAUAUCCAAGGCGUCUAAGAUUUUACCUAUUAUCAAAACCUGGAAAUGAUGUUUAAAUCCUUUAAAAUCACGGUUUUGCUUCUUUCUGACGUUUUAUGUUGAUCAGGAGAGUGCUUCAUAAGAGUUUUGCAACAACUAAAUGUUAUUAAAUCAUAACAUCAAUUUUUUUUUUUUUUUAAUUUCAAUGUUUCAUAAUAUUUAUUUU